rnacentral:sRNA from 1 species
UCAUGUAGUUUCUUAGACAGGCGCAAA